rnacentral:rRNA from 1 species
AAUAGAUACCCCGGUAGUCCAUGCCGUAAACGUUGGGCACUAGGUGUGGGGUCCAUUCCACGGAUUCCGUGCCGCAGCUAACGCAUUAAGUGCCCCGCCUGGGGAGUACGGCCGCAAGGCUAAAACUCAAAGAAAUUGACGGGGGCCCGCACAAGCGGCGGAGCAUGCGGAUUAAUUCGAUGCAACGCGAAGAACCUUACCAAGGCUUGACAUACACCGGGAAAGUGCAGAGAUGUGCUCCCCGUAAGGUCGGUGUACAGGUGGUGCAUGGUUGUCGUCAGCUCGUGUCGUAAGAUGUUGGGUUAAGUCCCGCAACGAGCGCAACCCUGUCCCAUGUUGCCAGCGGGUUAUGCCGGGGACUCAUGGGAGACUGCCGGGGUCAACUCGGAGGAAGGUGGGGAUGACGUCAAAUCAUCAUGCCCCUUAUGUCUUGGGCUUCACGCAUGCUACAAUGGCCGGUACAAAGGGCUGCGAUACCGCGAGGUGGAGCGAAUCCCAAAAAGCCGGUCUCAGUUCGGAUUGGGUCUGCAACUCGACCCAU